rnacentral:tRNA from 1 species
GCGGAUGUGGCGGAAUUGGUAGACGCGCACGGUUCAGGUCCGUGUGGACGCAAGUCCGUGGAGGUUCGAGUCCUCUCAUCCGCA